rnacentral:rRNA from 1 species
GACGAACGCUGGCGGCGUGCUUAACACAUGCAAGUCGAACGGAAAGGCCCUGCUUUUGUGGGGUGCUCGAGUGGCGAACGGGUGAGUAACACGUGAGUAACCUGCCCUUGACUUUGGGAUAACUUCAGGAAACUGGGGCUAAUACCGGAUAGGAGCUCCUGCUGCAUGGUGGGGGUUGGAAAGUUUCGGCGGUUGGGGAUGGACUCGCGGCUUAUCAGCUUGUUGGUGGGGUAGUGGCUUACCAAGGCUUUGACGGGUAGCCGGCCUGAGAGGGUGACCGGCCACAUUGGGACUGCGAUACGGCUCAGACUCCUACGGGAGGCAGCAGUGGGGAAUAUUGCACAAUGGGCGGAAGCCUGAUGCAGCAACGCCGCGUGCGGGAUGACGGCCUUCGGGUUGUAAACCGCUUUCGCCUGUGACGAAGCGUGAGUGACGGUAAUGGGUAAAGAAGCACCGGCUAACUACGUG